AGGGAUAAGUGCUGAAAGCAUCUAAGCAUGAAGCCCCCCUCAAGAUGAGAUUUCCCAUAGCGUUAAGCUAGUAAGAUCCCUGAAAGAUGAUCAGGUUGAUAGGUUCGAGGUGGAAGCGUGGUGACACGUGGAGCUGACGAAUACUAAUAGAUCGAGGACUUAACCA
rnacentral:rRNA from 1 species